rnacentral:lncRNA from 1 species
UAAGGUUUGCGUACACUCUACCCUCCCCAGACUUCACAUAGGGGAUGUUAUCGUUGUGUCCUUACCUUGCUAAAAAAAAUUAAGGAUUUUUUUGUAGUUUAUUCUCCUAGAAAUUGAGAAAAAGGGAAAACAACAAAACAAUCAUCUGCCAUCUUACCCUUCCAACAUAUUCCCCCAUUCCCACUUCCCAUGGGGACCCAUGAUGGCUCCCUAAUCAACUGCUCCCACUCGAUCUACUGCCCUCACCCUUUGCACCUACACCAUCCUUUUUCUCUUUCCCCUCCCAUCUCAUUCCGCAACCUACUCUCCGAUUCCCCCC